rnacentral:tRNA from 1 species
GUCAGGAUGGUCGAGCGGUCUAAGGCGCCAGAUUCAAGUUCUGGCCUCCACUUGGAGGCGUGGGUUCGAAUCCCACUCCUGUCA